GCCUGGCUAGCUCAGUCGGUAGAGCAAGAGACUCUUAAUUUCAGGGUCGUGGGUUUGAGACCCACGUUGGGCG
rnacentral:tRNA from 1 species